rnacentral:misc_RNA from 1 species
UCUCCGUAGGUGAACCUGCGGAGGGAUCAUUACAGAGUUCAUGCCCUACCGGGUAGAUCUCCCACCCUAUGUUAUUAUUACUUUGUUGCUUUGGCGGGCCGUUAGGCUCCGGCCCGACUACCGGCCCCGGCUGGUAAGCGCCCGCCAGAGGACCCAAAAUCCUGAAUAUUAGUGUCGUCUGAGUACUAUAUAAUAGUUAAAACUUUCAACAACGGAUCUCUUGGUUCUG